ensembl:piRNA 21ur-6024 ncRNA
UUACAAGAACAUCGAACCAAA